rnacentral:rRNA from 1 species
GGGUCAGUAGGUUGGUCGUGCCACCGGUACGUACUGGUCUCACUGAUUCCUCCUUCCUGAAGAACCGUAAUGCCAUUAAUUGGGUGUUGCCGGGAAACAGGACUGUUACUUUGAAAAAAUUAGAGUGUUUAAAGCAAGCUAACGCUUGAAUACAUUAGCAUGGAAUAAUGAAAGAGGACGAUCGAUCAUAUUUUGUUGGUUUCUAGGAUUGACGUA